rnacentral:rRNA from 1 species
UACGGGGGGGGCAAGCGUUGUUCGGAAUUACUGGGCGUAAAGGGCUCGUAGGCGGCCAACUAAGUCAGACGUGAAAUUCCUCGGCUUAACCGGGGAACUGCGUCUGAUACUGGAUGGCUUGAGUUUGGGAGAGGGAUGCGGAAUUCCAGGUGUAGCGGUGAAAUGCGUAGAUAUCUGGAGGAACACCGGUGGCGAAGGCGGCAUCCUGGACCAACACUGACGCUGAGGAGCGAAAGCCAGGGGAGCAAACGGG